rnacentral:misc_RNA from 1 species
UUGAUUUAUUUGCUUGCCACUCAGAGAUUCCGACUGGGACGAAUACAUGGUUUGGGGGUCCUCGGCGGGCGCCUGGGUCCGGGCCCUCGGGCGCCGGGGCGGUCCCGCCGAAGCAACGUGGGUAGGUUCACAGGGUUUGAGAGUUGCGACACUCGGUAAUGAUCCCUCCGCUGGUUCACCAACGGAGA